rnacentral:rRNA from 1 species
UACGUAAGGACCGAGCGUUGUCCGGAAUCAUUGGGCGUAAAGAGCGUGUAGGCGGCUAUUUAAGUCCUGCGUGAAAUCCUGCGGCUCAACCGCAGACGGUCGUGGGAAACUGGAUGGCUAGAGUGCGGGAGAGGAGAGUGGAAUUCCCGGUGUAGCGGUGAAAUGCGCAGAUAUCGGGAAGAACACCCGUGGCGAAGGCGGCUCUCUGGAACGCAACUGACGCUGAGACGCGAAAGCGUGGGGAGCAAACAGG